UUCUUAGAAUCAUUAUAAUAAUAGUAACGUUCUACGAUAUUGAAAAGAUUCUUUAUUGAAGAAGAUACAGUGUACAGCUAGGAAAAUAGUGGCAAAUCGGACAAAAACCAAAGAUGAUCAUUUUUCUUAUACAUCCAAGUAGUAACAUCAACGUAAGGAGGUAAGGACAAAUGCGCCAACCAAGGAGACAAUUAUGCCAAAGAUCGUGGUGAUCUUCUCCGCAAUUUUAAAGUUUGCUGAAUUCAUAUCUGAUUCUGGUGAUGCAUCCCUUUCCUCGGUCUUUACUGUUUCCUCCUGCAAAGCUGGCAGUGAGAUUUAAAAAAAAAUAAAAGAAGCGAAUACUAAGUUUGAAAUGCUAUAUAAAUCAUUAAAUUGAAAAUUAAUUGGUUUAUUCGUAAUAUACAAUUCA
rnacentral:misc_RNA from 1 species